rnacentral:rRNA from 1 species
UAAGGAAUAUUGGUCAAUGGACGCAAGUCUGAACCAGCCAUGCCGCGUGAAGGAUGAAGGUCCUCUGGAUUGUAAACUUCUUUUAUCUGGGACGAAAACGGGAUUUUUAUCUCAAUUGACGGUACCAGCGGAAUAAGCACCGGCUAACUCCGUGCCAGCAGCCGCGGUAAUACGGAGGGUGCGAGCGUUAUCCGGAUUUACUGGGUUUAAAGGGUGCGUAGGUGGGCUUAUAAGUCAGUGGUGAAAUCUCCGAGCUUAACUUGGAAACUGCCGUUGAUACUAUAGGUCUUGAAUUAUCUGGAGGUAAGCGGAAUAUGUCAUGUAGCGGUGAAAUGCUUAGAUAUGACAUAGAACACCAAUUGCGAAGGCAGCUUACUACAUAUAAAUUGACGCUGAGGCACGAAAGCGUGGGGAUCAAACA